rnacentral:rRNA from 1 species
GACGAACGCUGGCGGCGUGCUUAACACAUGCAAGUCGAACGGAAAGGCCUUUUCGGAGGUACUCGAGUGGCGGACGGGUGAGUAACGCGUGGGUGAUCUGCCCUGCACUCUGGGAUAAGCCUGGGAAAGUGGGUCUAAUACCGGCUAGGACCGCACUCCAGUUUGUGUGGGGGGAAGGUUUUUUGGUGUAGGAUGGGGCCGCGGCCUAUCAACUUGUUGGUGGGGUAAUGGGCUACCAAGGCGGCGACUGGUAGCCGGACUGGGAGGGUGGGCGGGCACAGUUGGGAUGGGAUUACGGCCAAGCUCCUAAGGGAGGGAGGCGUGGGGAAAAUUGGAAAAUGGGGCGGAGGCUGAUGCAGCGACCGCGCGGGGCGGGUGAAGGCCUUCGGGUUGUAAAAUCCUUUCGCCAGGGACGAAGCGUUUUGUGACGGUACCUGGAGAAGAAGCACCGGCUAACUACGUG